UGAGUCCUACGGGGGGCAGCAGUGGGGAAUAUUGCACAAUGGGGGAAACCCUGAUGCAGCAACGCCGCGUGAGUGAUGACAGCCUGCGGGUUGUAAAGCUCUGUCUUCAGGGACGAUAAUGACGGUACCUGAGGAGGAAGCCACGGCUAACUACGUGCCAGCAGCCGCGGUAAUACGUAGGUGGCGAGCGUUGUCCGGGUUUACUGGGCGUAAAGGGAGCGUAGGCGGACUUUUAAGUGAGAUGUGAAAUACUCGGGCUCAACUUGCGUGCUGCAUUUCAAACUGGAAGUCUGGAGGGCAGGAGG
rnacentral:rRNA from 1 species